UACGUAGGUGGCAAGCGUUGUCCGGAUUUAUUGGGUUUAAAGGGCGCGUAGGCGGCUCGGCACGUCCGUUGUGAAAUCGCCCGGCUCAACUGGGCGGGGUCAGCGGAUACGGCCGAGCUGGAGCAAGCUAGGGGGUAAUGGAAUUCCCGGUGUAGUGGUGGAAUGCGUAGAUAUCGGGAGGAACACCAGUGGCGAAGGCGGUUACCUGGAGCUUUGCUGACGCUGAUGCGCGAAAGCGUGGGGAGCGAUCCGG
rnacentral:rRNA from 1 species